rnacentral:rRNA from 1 species
GACGAACCUUGCUAACGUUAUUCGGAAUUACUGGGCUUAAAGGGUGCGUAGGCGGUGCAGCAAGUCGGGUGUGAAAGCCCUCAGCUCAACUGAGGAAUUGCGCCCGAAACUGCUGUGCUUGAGGAAUACAGAGGUAUGCGGAACUUAGGGUGGAGCGGUGAAAUGCGUUGAUAUCGUAAGGAACACCUGUGGCGAAAGCGGCUUACUGGGUCUUUUCUGACGCUGAUGCACGAAAGCCAGGGGAGCAAACGGG